rnacentral:tRNA from 1 species
GAUUCCUUAGCUUAAUCGGUAAAGCAUAUUAUUGAUAAUAAUAAGUUCUGCGUUCAAUUCGGCGGAGGAAUUA